ensembl:snRNA U6 U6 spliceosomal RNA
GUGUUGCACUCCCUUUGGCAGCACAUAUAUCAAGAUUGGAACAAUACAGAGAUUAGCAUGCCCCUGCCAAAGAUGACAUGUAAAAAGGAGUUUUUAUGUUGU